CAUCUGACUGUCAUCUCUAAUGGAAGGAUUGUUAUCUUCCCCUGUUAUCGUUACAGAAGUGAAACUGAGGCUCAGAGAAGCUGAUUCGCUUAGCAUCACACAGCUGGUGAGCAGCAGACCCAACCUUUGAACUCAGGAUGGCGGACAUCACGGCUCAUUUCUAUCUCUGUAUCACCUGAAGAAUCAGAACCCAGGUCCGAGGUUGGGACCAGGAAGACACAGGAUGGGCCACAGCUGAAGGACAAGUAUAAGAUUAGCAGGCUGUGCCUACAACAUGCAGAAGUCCGUGGGUCAGGGAUCGAACCCACGUUACUGCAAUGACAAAACGUCGAAUCUGUAACCGCUAGGCCACCAGGGAACGCCAAUUCAUCACAUUUCUCGAGCACCUACAAUUGCCAGGCUUGGUGGCAAACCCUGGGACUACAUCAGGGAACAUGAUCCAUAAUCCUGUCUCUUGAAGAAUUUAAUUUCUACAGGGAGAGACAGACAGACAGACAAGAUAACUGUGUAAACUAGGGGACAUAUUAGAGAAUGAUGAACAGGAAGGAAAAGCAAAGCAGUGGUCCCAGAUGGAGUUGGCAAGAAGGAUGAUAAGAGUUGAUAGAAUGACAAGAAGGUGACAAUCGAGCAUCAGCCUGAAGAGGUGAGGAAGGGGCGUAUUGCAGGUGACCUGAAGAAGUACGGGCAGAGACAUACCAUCAACAGAUGAGUGGAUAAACAAAAUGUGGUACGAACAUGAGAUGGAAUAUUACUUAGCCUUCAAGAGGAGGAGAAUUCUGGCACAGGUCACAACAUGGAUGAACCUCAAGGAUGUUAUGCUAAGUGAAAUAAGCCAAUCACAAAAAGACAGAUAUUGUACGGCUCCACAUAUGUCGAGUACCUAGAGCAGUGAAAUUAAUAGGGACAAAAUGUAGAAAGGUGGUUGCUGGGGGCUGAGGGAGGACACGUGCGGAACUACUGUUGAACAGGUACAGAGUUUCCAUUUUAGUGGAUGAAGAAGGUUCUGGAGAAUGGCGAUGGUAGGACAACACAGCAGAAGCACGCCCGAUUGCGUGUGAAAGAUCAGCAAGUGGUCUUUUGAAAGACCAGUGUGGCUGAAAGGAGUGAGUAAGGAGAAAGUGCUAGAAGAUGAGUUGGGAGACAUGUGAGGACAGGGGCAGAUGACUUACCAUGUUUCGAGUCGCCGAGGACCCUGGCAUCUCCUCCAGCGAGCAGAAAACUACUGGAAGGUGGAGAAGUGGCAGCAGAUGAAACUUUAAAAGGAAAGAUUGGAGAAGAAGAGGGGCAUGAGCCAAGUAAGCUCUGGGGGAGCUUCGGAAUUAACCAGCUCCCCCACAUUACUGAUGAGCUUCUUCCAGCUAAUGGAAUAAUGAAAACACAAAACAGAUUUACCGUUCUUAAUAAGAGAGAGAGAUAAUGAAGGCAAAUUAAAAUGGAAGCUCAGAUCUGCGUGGAGAACAGCUUGCUGCCAUGCAUGUGGCUCAAAGACAAAGGAAAGCGCUUAAUAAAAAAAAGCAAAAAAUUACCUGAGUUUGUGGACCAAGAAUAAGCCAAGAACAACACUGGGGGCACCGUGGAAUAGCUACAACAGAGACUGUGUAUCGUGAGCGGGUUUGGCUCAACCUUGGGUUCUGAGCAACUGCAAGGUGAUAUACCCUUUCUCGAAGCUUCCACCAUCCUCACUGGAAGAGCCAAAGACCCUCAGGUCAGCAGGGCAGGCUUUCUGGCUCCUCUGUCCCCUUAGAAGAGGCCAAGAUGGCAAUCUUGACUUCAGAAUCUUUAUUGGAAAAUAAACA